CCAGCAGCCGCGGUAAUUCCAGCUCCAAUAGCGUAUAUUAAAGUUGUUGCAGUUAAAAAGCUCGUAGUUGGAUUUCUGGGCUGGACUGGGGGUCCACCGCAAGGUGCGUACUGCCGGGCCGGUUCAUCCUCUCGAAGACUGCGUGUGCUCUUAACUGAGUGUGCGGAGGAUUCGGGACCUUUACUUUGAAAAAAUUAGAGUGUUCAAAGCAGGCCUACGCUUGAAUACAUUAGCAUGGAAUAAUGGAAUAGGACUUUGGUUCUAUUUUGUUGGUUUCUAGGACUGAAGUAAUGAUUAAUAGGGAUAGUUGGGGGCAUUAGUAUUUAAUUGUCAGAGGUGAAAUUCUUAGAUUUAUGAAAGACUAACUACUGCGAAAGCAUUUGCCAAG
rnacentral:rRNA from 1 species